CGGGGUGCACCAGGCGCGAAAACUUUACAAUGCUGGCAACAGCGAUAAGGGGACCUCGAGUGCCAGGAUACAAUCUUGGCUGUCGCGAUGCCUAAAAAGCAUUGCAUAGCAAGGGCCGGGCAAGACCGGUGCCAGCCGCCGCGGUAACACCGGCGGCUCGAGUGGUAACCGCUAUUAUUGGGUCUAAAGGGUCUGUAGCCGGCCGGAUAAGUCUUUUGGGAAAUCCAGCUGCUCAACAGUUGGGCUUUCAGAAGAUACUGUUCGGCUCGAGACCGGGAGAGGUGAGAGGUACUUCAGGGGUAGGGGUGAAAUCUUGUAAUCCUUGAAGGACCACCAGUGGCGAAGGCGUCUCACCAGAACGGAUCUGACGGCAAGGGACGAAAGCUAGGGGCACGAACCGGAUUAGAUACCCGGGUAGUCCUAGCCGUAAACGAUACUCGCUAGGUGUCAGCCACGGUGCGACCGUGGUUGGUGCCGUAGGGAAGCCGUGAAGCGAGCCACCCGGGAAGUACGGCCGCAAGGCUGAAACUUAAAGGAAUUGGCGGGGGAGCAC
rnacentral:rRNA from 1 species